rnacentral:tRNA from 1 species
GCCCUCAUAGCUCAGCCUGGUAGAGCGAUUGCCUCGUAAGCAAUAGGUCGAGAGUUCAAAUCUCUCUGAGGGCU